rnacentral:rRNA from 1 species
AUUGAACGCUGGCGGCAGGCCUAACACAUGCAAGUCGAACGAGUGGCGGACGGGUGAGUAAUGUCUGGGAAACUGCCUGAUGGAGGGGGAUAACUACUGGAAACGGUAGCUAAUACCGCAUACCAUCGGAUGUGCCCAGAUGGGAUUAGCUCGUAGGUGGGGUAAAGGCUCACCUAGGCGACGAGCCCUAGCGGGUCUGAGAGGAUGACCAGGCAAACUGGAACUGAGACACGGUCCAGAAUCCGACGGGAGGCAGCAGGGGGGAAUAUUGCAAAAUGGGCGCAAGCCUGAUGCAGCCAUGCAGCGGGGAGGAAGAAGGCCUUCGGGUUGUAAAGUACUUUCAGCGGGGAGGCGUUACCCGCAGAAGAAGCACCGGCUAACUCCGUGCCAGCAGCCGCGGUAAUUC